rnacentral:lncRNA from 1 species
GGUAGUUCUAUAUUUAAUUUACUAAGGUACUCCAUUCUGUUUUCCAUAGUGGUUGUACCAAUUUACAUUCCCCCCAACAGUGCAGGAGGAUUCUUUUUCUCCAUACCCUCUCCAGCAUUUGUUAUUUGCGGACUUAUUAAUAUUGGCCAUUCUGACUGGUAUGAGGUGGUACCUCAUGGUAAUUUUGAUUUGCAUUUCUCUAAUAAUCAAUGACAUUGAGUAUUUUUUCAUGUGCUUGUUGGCCAUCUGUAUAUUUCCUUUGGAGAUAUGUCUAUUCAGGUCUUUUGCCCAUUUUUCCAUUGAGUUGUUGGCUUUUUUUGCUGUUGAGUUGUAUAAGUUGUUUGUCUAUUUUAGAGAUUAAGCCCUCAUCAGUUGCAUCAUUUGAAACUAUUUUCUCCCAUUCCAUAGGUUCUCCUUUUUUUUUUUUUUUUUUUUAAUGGUUUGCUUUGCUGUGCAAAACUUGUCAGUUUGAUUAGGUCUCAUUGGUUUAUUUUUGCUUUUAUUUCUCCUGCCUUGGGACAGUGACCUGAGAAAACAUUUGUAAGGUUGAUAUCAGAGAACAUUUUGUUUAUGUCCUCUUCUAGGAGAUUGAUGGUGUCUUUACUUAUGAAAAGCAUUCAUUACUUUCCCAAGACUCAACUGUCCUUACUCUCCUGGAAUAAGCUCUUCAUGGUUAUGAUUUAUGAUUAUUUAAAUAUAAUGUUGGAAUCUGUUGCCUAAUAUUUUAUUUAGGAUUUUUGAAACUGUAUAGUCAUUUCUCAUAUUACCUUUAUCUGAUUUUGUCAUCAAGAUGAUACACUCUUCUUAAAAAUGAGCUUGGCAAACUUUUAUUCAUUUUAUUUAUACUAUAAAAAAAUUGUAUAGGAAAAGACAACUACUUAAAAGUUUGUUCCACCACUAAAAAGCUAUUAGAACUAUUAAAUGAGUUUAGCAAGAUUGUGGGACUAAGGUUAAUAUAAAAAAUUGAUAGUAUUUAUAUAUACAAGAAAAUAUAACCUGAAAAUGAAAUUAAAAAUAAUUUCACUUAUAAUAGCAUCAACAGGAAAUACUUAGGGAUAGAUUUAACAGUAGAAGCACAAGACUUGUACACUGAAAACUAUAAAACAUUCUUGAAAAAAAUUCAAGAAGACCUAAUAAAUUGUCCAUGGAUAGGAAGACAAUGUUAGAAUGAAAAUACUGCCUAAAUUUGUCUACAGAUUCAAUGCAAGCCCUAGCGUGGCUGUAUUUGGAGGUGGGGCCUUUAAGGAAGUAAUUAAGGAAAAUGAGGUCAUAAGGGUGGGAUCCGAUCUGGUCAGACUAGUGUACAUAUGAGAAGGGGAGGAGACUCUCCACUGGAGAGAGCCCAGGUGAGGACACAGGGUGAAGGUGGUGCCUGCAUCAGAGAGAAGAGGUCUCAUCACAAAGCAAUCAGCUGGCACCUUGAUGUUGGACCUUCAGCCUCCAGAACCAUGAGGAAUGAAUGUCUGCCAUCCAGGUCGCCCAGUCCGUGGUGUUUGUCAUAGCCACUCGAGCAGACUUGGACAGUGUCACCUCCACACCUCCUAUGGCUCUCCCUGCUCUGCCCAAGAACUAUGGACUGGCCAUUCUCCUGUUGGAUGCACCUGUUUCCACCAUCCUGUCUGGACUCCAGCUCCCACCUGCCACAUGGACACAUCAUCCCUCAUCCCUGAACUAGGCUCUGUGGGGUGAUGUGGUUCAGAUUCUGUCCCAUGAGGAGAGGCUGGCAGUGCUGCCUAGUAACCAGACAGGUGUGUGCCAGCAUCCCCAGAUGCCUGGACCAGGUAAGGUGCAAGCAGGAGCAAUGGGGCCUCAACUGCAUGUGAGCCCGGGAAUACCAGCACUCAUGGACUUGAAUGAAUCCACUGGCAUUAGCCAUGUGGCUGACCAUUCAUUAUCUGGACCCACUUGCUUUGCAGUAAAAGGUUAUUUAUGGGUAAAUGAGGAUCCUACGCGUGGACCACAGGUCAGGACGCCUUAGACAUUGUGCUGCCGGUUGGAAGGGACCUUCUUUCUGCUAACUGUCGGGUCUUCAUGCCCUAAGUCCAUCAAUAAUAUAAAUGUUUCUCUUUCGAAAGAAAAUGACUGUGUAAAACUAUUUCAUUUGUGUAACUAGAGCAUCAGAAGAGAAUUUUCCCCAGAAUAUCUUCCAAAGGUCCUUAGGAACUGUGAAGUUAUGAGUAGACCUGGGAAUGGAUGGAACCGGGAAGACAUUGGGUGUUAGCUCCUCAAGAUUUAACUUUCUUCAGAAAUGGCGGGAUUUCACACACAGCCAUCUAGGUUCAUAUUUCUGCCCCCUGAUCUUAGAUGAACCAUUUAACUCAUCUAGACCUUAGUUUCCUCAUUUGCAAAAUGAGAAAAAUGACUCAUACCUGCUGUGUACAACUUGAAAGGAUUCUUACAACAAUCACUGUGGAAAUGCAUGGCAGAAUGCUCUGUGAACUGCAUCAUGAAGGGGACCCCACUACAUGGGGAAUGAGCCCUCUCAUUUUCAGAAGUUCCUGGCCAUGUGGUAUUCAGGGAGGAUAAAAUGAGAAAGUAUUUGUGUCUCUGGUUCUUAAUUUGUUCUCAAAGGUGAAAGUAAUAUGGCAGGUUUUUUUUUUUUCUCAUUAAUAAUGAAAAAGCAAUUUGUCACUAAUAUGUAGUUGCUUAAUAUUUUAUUUAUUUAUUUAUUUUGCUUAAUAUUUUAAAGAAGACUGUUAUAAUAGCUGAAAUUAAAGAAACUUGGCUCGAAUUCCUCCUGUGCUUUCUUCCUAGCUCUGCUAUAUUGGGAAAAUUACUUAGCCUUUCUGAGCCUCUGUUUCUGCAUCUGUAAAAUGGACACCAUCUUACUUAUUUGUCAGGGUUCCUGUGGGGAGUGGCAUCAGAUCAUUUAUGAGCAACUUCCUAACAGGAUCCCAGGGCGUCAGGAGCCCAGCAGGUGCCCAGCCUGCCGAAUUGAUACCUUCUGCUACUCAGAGCUUCAUCUCUGCACCGGCUUCUCACCUUGCUCUCAAAUUUUGAUGUUAGUUGUCAGGAAAGCAUCAGCUUUCCGAGAGCUGGAAUGUUGCCGUCUACAUUUUCUAAAGCCUUGGCCACGUUAGGAAACCAAAGCUAUGCUUUAGUUUAAAUGAUAGGGCAAUUUCACUAACUUGAAGUCUUGAAAAAACAACUUGCUGAUUCAUUGUGAUUGCAGAAUACACAGACUUUUAGUAUUUGGGAGCUAAAAAAGAUUUAUUUAAUAUUUUAUCAUUUGAUUUAACAAAUGAUGUUCAUAUGCAAUGUAUGUGUGUUCCAAACUGUCCUACAGAAUCCCUUUCUUGGGGGAAAUUGCUUGUUGCAGGGAGCAUUUCUGAGAUGGUUUUUUCCUUGAAUUUGACCUGUGUGUAUUCACGGCCAGACUCAAGUUUCAGGUAGUGGGCGGGAGGCCCCUCGGCCAAUCGGAAGGUGGAUCUGCUCAGGUCAUUUGCAUGUGGCAGCCCACUUUCCCGCAGUGCCAUCAGGAGGUGAAAUACAUCCUUGGGGGGUGUCACGGCCCGGGUUAAGAUGUCCUUUUACCCCUUCGCUGCUAGAGCAAUUUGAUAACUAUUCCACAAGAGCAGGCGGCGCUCAGAUGGGUGGAGCUGAGAAGACUGCAAAAUCUUGUCCAUCUUGCAAUUGCACCUGAGGAAGUGAGGAAUGAGAAUGCUUCCUGUGUGCCCUGGAAUUACUUUGCUCCUUGAUACACUGAUUUAUGGCUUGUUGUUUUCCUUCGGCUGAACGUGACAUUAGUACCUACAGAAGGGCAAAUGUGUGAGAAUGCUUGUAAAGCAAAAUCCAUUUUUGCAAAGGUAAUGAUGUUCUAAAAUUGGAACAAGUGCAACUCAGGCAAAAAAAUAAAAAUUGGAAUAUUCCCUAAAAUGAGUGAGCUCUUCUUCCUAGCUUUUCAAGGUAGUAAAGGUUUUCUUGAUGUGCUAUCAGAUUGGCUUUAUUAUUUUAAAAUAUUUUUUAACUCAGGAAAAAGAUAAUGUUUCAUAUUUUCUAUUUUGCCAUGCUGUCCGGUCAUUUGCUGUUCCAGAUGCUGGCUCUUACUGUGCAAUCAGCCUUGUGGUUUAAAAUGGAUCCUCUAUAAGGAUUCAUUCCAAAAUCCUGGGGAAAAAAAAAUGCCCAGCAGAGUGAGGGACUUGCGUAUGGCCACAGGAACAGGAAGCAGACAUAUACUGGACACAAGCACUGCGGAAAUCAGAGGGUGAUUCCAGCUGGGAGUAACAGUGAGAUGCUGGUAUUUGUAUAAAAGAAGCUGUGUGGGGGAGGGCAGGAACUGAGAAGAAAACACCCAAAUAUAGUUCUAAUUUGUGUCAGACUCACCCAAGCAGGCAGGGAGGGGGGCUGUCCAAAGGGCUAGAAGGGCUCCUUAGAAUGUGUCUCUGUGAAGAUGUCAGGAUGAGAAAUCUUUCAUUCCCCUCCACUGGUGAUGGGUCUCUGAAUGAACACCGCCCUGGAAAGAUCCAAAGCUUGGUGGGGUGUGAGAGUAUAGACUUCACACCCAGAGGAAGCACUCCUCCUUCCACGUCAGCUGAGACGAGAGAGACUUCAGUGGCACUGCCUGUGAGUGGCCAUCUCUUUCAAUCAUGGAAGUGAGUGGGCAACUUGGAAAGUAGAUGCCUGAAUCCAAACUACCUUCUGGAAUGCUCUGUGUCAGAGAGGCGGCACCUUCUCAGCUGGAAAGCCGCAGGUCUCUCCCACGCCCUGGGACCCUUCUGCGUCUCUCCUGCAGGCGUAUGCUGCAGCCCACCCUCCAGGGUAUAUCCAGUCUUCUUCAGAAAUGACGCAGCAUUUUAGGUUUGUGGCAAGUCAGCGAACAGGAAUACUGGAGAGAGCUUUAUGUCCACACGCUGACAGGUUUCUGUUGGUUUUGGCUUAAGAGCUCACUGGGGUGUAGACCAUUAACAUUUUAUAAUAUGUAGUUUGCACUAAUGGGCUCAUUGAAAAAAAGAGAGAGAGAGAAAGGGAUUCUGAAGGACACACUUCCUCCUGGGCUUUUUCCCGAUUGUUUCGCUUUUCUGUACUCUGUUCCCUCCCCAUCCCUCUGUGAGGUCAAACACUGUGGGUUGUUGCAGAUGGCCUCCAGCCAGUGGGAUUGCCCAUGCUCCUUUCCUGCCAUCCUUGUGGGGCUAAGCCCAGUCAGGANGCAGAUGAUGGCACAAAAGCAACUGCUAAGAAGAAUUAGUGUUCAUUCCCAUCAUGGCGCAGAGGAAACGAAUCCAACUAGGAACCAUGAGGUUGAGGGUUCGAUCCCUAGCUUAGCUCAGAGGGUUAAGAAUCUGGCAUUGCCACCUGGUGUUGGUUGUAGAUGCGGCUCCGAUCUGGCAUUGCUGUGGCAUAGGCUGGUGACUACAGCUCCCAUUAGACACCUAUCCUGGGAACCUCCCUCUGCUGUGGGUGCGGCCCUUAAAAAAAAAAAAAAAAAAAAA